rnacentral:rRNA from 1 species
GAUGAACGCUAGCGAUAGGCUUAACACAUGCAAGUCGAGGGGCAUCGAGGGUAGCAAUACCUGUCGGCGACCGGCGCACGGGUGAGUAACGCGUAUGUAACCUGCCCGCAACAGAGGGGUAACCCGGCGAAAGUCGGACUAAUACCUCAUAAAACAGGGGUUCCGCAUGGGGCUAUUUGUUAAAGAUUUAUUGGUUGCGGAUGGGCAUGCGUACCAUUAGGUAGUUGGUGAGGUAACGGCUCACCAAGCCAUCGAUGGUUAGGGGUUCUGAGAGGAAGGUCCCCCACACUGGUACUGAGACACGGACCAGACUCCUACGGGAGGCAGCAGUGAGGAAUAUUGGUCAAUGGGCGAGAGCCUGAACCAGCCAAGUCGCGUGAAGGAUGACUGCCCUAUGGGUUGUAAACUUCUUUUACAGGGGAAUAAAAUGAGAUACGUGUAUUUUAUUGCAUGUACCUUGUGAAUAAGCAUCGGCUAACUCCGUGCCAGCAGCCGCGGUAAUACGGAGGAUGCGAGCGUUAUCCGGAUUUAUUGGGUUUAAAGGGUGCGUAGGUGGGCUGUUAAGUCCGCGGUGAAAGUUUGUCGCUUAACGAUAAGAUUGCCGUUGAAACUGGUAGUCUUGAGUAUAGAUGAAGUAGGCGGAAUGCGUGGUGUAGCGGUGAAAUGCAUAGAGAUCACGCAGAACUCCGAUUGCGAAGGCAGCUUACUAAGGUAUAACUGACACUGAAGCACGAAAGCGUGGGUAUCAAACAGGAUUAGAUACCCUGGUAGUCCACGCAGUAAACGAUGAUUACUAGGAGUUUGCGAUAUAGUGUAAGCUCUACAGCGAAAGCGUAAGUAAUCCACCUGGGGAGUACGCGGCAACGGUGAAACUCAAAGGAAAUUGACGGGGGCCGCACAAGCGGAGAACAUGUGGUUUAAUCGAUGAUACGCGAGA